GAACGCUAGCGACAGGCUUAACACAUGCAAGUCGAGGGGCAGCGGGGGUAGCGAUACCCGCCGGCGACCGGCGCACGGGUGAGUAACGCGUAUGCAACUUGCCUAUCAGAGGGGGAUAACCCGGCGAAAGUCGGACUAAUACCGCAUGAAGCAGGGGCCCCGCAUGGGGAUAUUUGCUAAAGAUUCAUCGCUGAUAGAUAGGCAUGCGUUCCAUUAGGCAGUUGGCGGGGUAACGGCCCACCAAACCGACGAUGGAUAGGGGUUCUGAGAGGAAGGUCCCCCACAUUGGUACUGAGACACGGACCAAACUCCUACGGGAGGCAGCAGUGAGGAAUAUUGGUCAAUGGCCGAGAGGCUGAACCAGCCAAGUCGCGUGAGGGAUGAAGGUUCUAUGGAUCGUAAACCUCUUUUAUAAGGGAAUAAAGUGCGGGACGUGUCCCGUUUUGUAUGUACCUUAUGAAUAAGGAUCGGCUAACUCCGUGCCAGCAGCCGCGGUAAUACGGAGGAUCCGAGCGUUAUCCGGAUUUAUUGGGUUUAAAGGGUGCGUAGGCGGCCUUUUAAGUCAGCGGUGAAAGUCUGUGGCUCAACCAUAGAAUUGCCGUUGAAACUGGGGGGCUUGAGUAUGUUUGAGGCAGGCGGAAUGCGUGGUGUAGCGGUGAAAUGCAUAGAUAUCACGCAGAACCCCGAUUGCGAAGGCAGCCUGCCAAGCCAUUACUGACGCUGAUGCACGAAAGCGUGGGGAUCAAACAGGAUUAGAUACCCUGGUAGUCCACGCAGUAAACGAUGAUCACUAGCUGUUUGCGAUACACUGUAAGCGGCACAGCGAAAGCGUUAAGUGAUCCACCUGGGGAGUACGCCGGCAACGGUGAAACUCAAAGGAAUUGACGGGGGCCCGCACAAGCGGAGGAACAUGUGGUUUAAUUCGAUGAUACGCGAGGAACCUUACCCGGGUUUGAACGCAUUCGGACCGAGGUGGAAACACCUUUUCUAGCAAUAGCCGUUUGCGAGGUGCUGCAUGGUUGUCGUCAGCUCGUGCCGUGAAGUGUCGGCUUAAGUGCCAUAACGAGCGCAACCCUUGCCACUAGUUACUAACAGGUAAAGCUGAGGACUCUGGUGGGACUGCCAGCGUAAGCUGCGAGGAAGGCGGGGAUGACGUCAAAUCAGCACGGCCCUUACAUCCGGGGCGACACACGUGUUACAAUGGCGUGGACAAAGGGAGGCCACCUGGCGACAGGGAGCGAAUCCCCAAACCACGUCUCAGUUCGGAUCGGAGUCUGCAACCCGACUCCGUGAAGCUGGAUUCGCUAGUAAUCGCGCAUCAGCCAUGGCGCGGUGAAUACGUUCCCGGGCCUUGUACACACCGCCCGUCAAGCCAUGGGAGCCGGGGGUACCUGAAGUCCGUAACCGAAAGGAUCGGCCUAGGGUAAAACUGGUGACUGGGGCU
rnacentral:rRNA from 1 species